ensembl:snRNA U4 U4 spliceosomal RNA
UUCUUUGCGCAGUGGCAGUAUCGUAGCCUAUGAGGUUUAUCCGAGGCGCGAUUAUUGCUAGUUGAAAACUUUACCCAAUACCCCGCCAAGACGACUUGAAAUAUAGUUGGCUUUGGCAAUUUUUGAUGGUCUCUCAGGAGA